rnacentral:lncRNA from 1 species
CCUGCGGGGAAGCUGGGCGACUCGCCCGCGGGGACGAGGACCGCCGCUCCUUUGGAGGCGCAAGGAGUCCAGGGGUCCGGCCGUCGCCGCCAGCUCCAGCAGCGAAAGACGGCACCCUGGCGGGCGCACCGGUGACAGCGGCGACCCUGCGCGCAGGUGGCAGUGUAGAAGCCAAAACAGGAGCUUCCAGAAGUGGUUUCUGAAAAAUAAGAGUUGAAUGCACAAGCACAGGAAUCCGAAAAACCACAGAACUUUGGCCUGGAAGUAUAUAUGACCUUGGACUGAGUUGGUGCUGGACUCAAAAGGCAGGACUAGAAGUCAGGAGGCUGCCGCUCUGGUCCCCAGUCAGGUAGGCUCUCCAUUUUCACUGCUCUGGGCAUAGGAUUGUCAGUGCUAACAUAAGGGUUAGACUAUUGAUCUCUAAAGUUCCAUGUUAUUCUGACACUGUAGUUUUAAUACUGUGGUUUUGUUUAUUUCCACCAUAGAACUAUUAUGUGGGUUCAAUAAAUUUGAUUGCA